rnacentral:tRNA from 1 species
GGCUCUGUAGUGAAAUUCAUAGUGAGUUGCAAACUCAUUGAUGUGCAUCAAUCAUGCACCGGAGUCU